GCAGCGUUGGUGAAUAAGUCAUCUUCUUUCUUGAAAGAUGAGUACUUGAUUCCAGGGUCAUGGUGGGUUGAGAAGAAUAGGAGUAUGGUUCUUGAUGAGAAUGGGGAGUGGAUUUUGGCACCACCUUCAGAUGAGGAUCUUCCAGUCCCUGAAUAUUGAAUUGCUUUCAGAAAUAUUUAGAAAUGAGUAGUUUGUUCAGUUUGCAGUUUUCUCAGGAGUAUGGUUCUUGAUGAAGAUGGGGAGUGGAUUUUGGCACCACCUUCAGAUGAGGAUCUUCCAGUCCCCGAGUAUUGAAUUGCUUUCAGAAAUUUUUGGAAAUGAUUAGUUUGUUCAGUUUGCAAUUUCCUAAUUGAUAUUGUUAAUCUUGCUUUGGACUUGUAAAUGCAAAAGCGUCCAAUGCCUAUCUUGCAAACAAUGUGUAUAUUAUCACCGACGCUCUAUUGUACUAAUGUCAGGUGAGGUAGGGUGGAUCCACUCCUUCGGCACCAGGUUCAUACAAAUCCAGUAUUUUCGACCUAAAUUAUAAAUUUUUAUAGAAAACUCUGGAAAAUCUCACCAAAAAAUAGAUUUGAACUCAUAAUUUGAAAAGUACAAUGAAAGAAACUAAAAGGUCGAACCCAUCAAAUUAAGAUCCUAGAUCCUUCUCUUAGUGCAUCACUCAACUUGACUUCUGCAAAUCUAAGAAGUUACAGGGAAAAAAAAGGAAUUCUAUAAAUUCGAGAUUAAUCAUCUCUGGUAACUUGCCCUAAAAAAUUACCUAAAGAAUCACGGCACAUGCCAAUUAAUCAUUUCUGGUAGACUUGUACAUGGGAAGAAGAAAAGAAAAUUAAAGGUUAAAAAAGGGCAAUUCCUCUUCAGUUAUUUCCUUUAAAUUAAAGAAAAUAGUUGAGGAUGAGUUAC
rnacentral:lncRNA from 1 species